rnacentral:rRNA from 1 species
CCUACGGGGGGCUGCAGUGAGGAAUAUUGGUCAAUGGGCGCGAGCCUGAACCAGCCAAGUAGCGUGAAGGAUGACUGCCCUACGGGUUGUAAACUUCUUUUAUAAAGGAAUAAAGUGAGGCACGUGUGCCUUUUUGUAUGUACUUUAUGAAUAAGGAUCGGCUAACUCCGUGCCAGCAGCCGCGGUAAUACGGAGGAUCCGAGCGUUAUCCGGAUUUAUUGGGUUUAAAGGGAGCGUAGAGGGGUUGUUAAGUCAGUGGUGAAAGUUUGCGGCUCAACCGUAGCAUUGCAGUUGAUACUGGUAGCCUUGAGUACGGUGGAGGUAUGCGGAAUGCGGGGUGUAGCGGUGAAAUGCUUAGAUAUCGCGAAGAACCCCGAUUGCGAAGGCAGCGUGCUAUGCCGCCACUGACGUUGAUGCACGAAAGUGUGGGUAUCGAACAGGAUUAGAUACCCGGGUAGUC